UUUAUUGAUUAUACAUUCAGAAAGUUGGUAGAGAGAAAAGCUAGUUUAAAAUUUUAUCAUCUUUUGUAUUUAGGCCAAGAUUGAAAAAUGUGGAUCGGAGUAGUGCUCAGCAUUUGGAAGUUACCGUUGGAGAUCUGACAGUCAUUAUUACAGACUUUAAGGAGAAAACGAAGUCACCGCCUGCAUCUAGUGCUGCUUCUGCAGAUCAACACAGUCAGAGUGGCUCUAGCUCUGAUAACACAGAGAGGGGAAUGUCCAGGUCAUCUUCACCCAGAGGAGAAGCCUCAUCAUUGAAUGGAGAAUCUCAUUAAAGUUUAUUUUCUCCAAUUUCUUAGUCACUUCUGUCAUAACAUGCAAAUACACAGAUUAUGCCAAGAAGUACCACAUUUUCAUGACAAACAUUCAUGCACAAUCCAUAAUUUGCGUUUUACACAAAAUAGAAAUUUGUUAGAAUUUGUUAGACUUUAUUGCAGUCUAUGCCUACCAAACAUUUUCAGACUUGACAUUUUGGUCUCCACAGUUCAAGGUGCCAUGAAAAUGUGGUUGAAUUAUUCAUUAUGCAGUGUUAUUGGAUUAAAAGGAACCUAAAGGGAUGUGAUAUGGUCCAGAACCCUGAUGUCAAGUAAAUGAAUGAUUAUUCUUCUGGAUGUGCUCAUCCCAUAAAUUGUUGCAGAAUGAAAACUGCCAUUCCAGUAUUUUAACAACCUGUGGGGUAUUAAAUUAUUCUUUAUUUUUACUACAUUUAGUUUCUUUGUUGAAAUAGAGAACAAUUGUGGUAGGCAUCUCUUUAAACAUCUUUGAUCUAAUGAGUACUAGCUCUUACUCCAGUUUCUUGGUACCAUAUCCUUUUUCUCUCUCAAAAUCUAUUUUCCAUUCUUAUAAAUGCUUUUGCUGUCCAUCUUUGUACCUCGUUAAGUUUAUCUUUAUUUCUCUAAGAAUUGUAAGGUGUAGUAGAAGGAUUAAUUUAAUAUUGUCAUUUUUACUUGCCUGUCUUCCCUUUGAGGGCAGUACCCUCUAGCCCUUUGUCUGGCAUGUAGAAAAUAAUCAAUAAAUGUUUAUUGAAUGAAUAAGUGUA
rnacentral:lncRNA from 1 species